ensembl:lncRNA
UGGCUUUUGCAUAUUUGGGCUGUGUACCCCUACCUCAUUUCUCUUCUUCCAGACUGUUUCCUACGGGAUACGCUACGGAAUUUUAAGGAGAAAAUCCCAGAAGAUGAAAUCCCAGCAAGACAAACAUCUCGGCAAACAUAACCUUGAGCUCCGUGCAGGUUGGCAGGGUCAAGGGGGAGGAAUUAAGAUCUCACUUCAACUCACUGACGAUUACUGAGCCACGAGCUGCGUUCCCAUCCGCGGUACCGCAGCACAUAUGAAUCACAGGAUCAUAGAAUAUCCCAGUUUGGAAGGGACACAUAAGGAUCAUCGAGUCAAAUUCCUUCAUUAUUGUAAGCCUAGUUAUGAUCAUAUAGAAGAAAGCAAUACCAUGGGUUAUAUUUUCCCCUUCCUUUCUCCCUGUGAAUGCCAGUUCCAUGGAGUCUUCUGACUGCUUGACAAUGCCCAAAGAAAAUCCCUUCUCUUUGCUGGACAAGGUCCAUCUCCAGGACAAUGCUCCUCAUGCUGUGACCCUAAAUUCAUAACCACUCUCUACCACUGGUGGACAGGAGAUGCCUCCAUUUCCACCCAGGAAUCCACUUGUCUCCAG